AAAGUUAGCUAUAAUAUAAUUAUCUUCGUUAGAAUUUAAAUGAAAACUACAGUAGUACUAAUCGAGUGGAAUUGCAGAUGCAUCCAUGAAUGACCAUGCCACGGGAUCGUCACACGUGGUCAAACAGGGUUACCUUAAAUUGCAGUCAUUCUUGUCUUCCUUAACUCCAUCUCUGCUUUCCGUUCAUUCUCUUUGUUCCAAUCUCCGACAAAACAAACAACGUCUUGAUCCAUUUCAACACAUCCUAAUACCUCUCAUUAAAGACGCAACCAUCUUUCUCUCUCUGCACUCAACUCAAUCAUGCGCCUAACUUACUAACAACUCUUCAACUUUACAGCCACCAAAACGAUGUCGGAGAAUCUCGACGGUUCCGAAAUCUCGCCGAGUACUUCCUCCCAAAGUCUCGGCGAGUUACCGGAAAUCGCCGCGAUGCCAUUCGGAAUCGAUCUCGUGUCGGCGGCCAGGCGAAAUAUCUGGUUCCUGAGGACAGUGGCAGAUUCUGUGUGGCUUCACCACACCCCCAUUAUGGUGGAAGCCGUGAGAAGGUACCAUGAUUUCUGGAUGCCGUUGAUUGCUGAUCUCACGCUGCCCUACUCUUCCCCUCCCACGAUUCUUCCUCCCCUUGACAUCCACUGGGUUUGGUUCUGUCACACUUUAAACCCCGUAAGUUACAGGGAAUACUGUGAAACGAGAUUCUCGAAGCUGAUUGGGAAAGCGGGAAUCUUUGAUGAAGAGAACAGAGACUACGCGUUGAUGCGGUGCAUGGAGAUUUGGAGCAGUAGAUACCCGUUGGAGUCGUUUGAGAACGAGGCGAGUUCGGAUUCGCAGGAUUUGGAUACUGUGGUUGUUGUUGGGGGGUGUUUGAAGGAGAGUGUGUUUAAGGAAGUUGAAAAGCAGAGGGUGUUGCUGUGUUCCAUGUUUGUAGAGCCGUACAGGUCCGAGGUGGUCUACUUGAUAGCUGCGAGACAGCGAUACAAGGCUUUCUUGUUUAUGCUGCUGAGGUUCGCGCGUGACUUCUCUUCGCGUUUGGUUCCUACUUCGGACAUCCUCUUAAUGUGGUUGACCCACCAGAGCUACCCAACAGUGUAUUGUGAAGAUUUGAAAGCAUUAGCUAUAGAAGGUGAUCUGGAGAAGGUGGCAACUCUGUCUGAAAAGGUGAAGGAAAAGGAGUUUGAAGAAACCAAGAAGUUGUGGGAUAGGGCGUUCAAUCAACCUUAUGAGAAAGCUGGUGGAGAGGUGCCUUUGACGUUGGAGGGUGUUAUCUCAAUCAAAUCCCCUGUCUAUUGGGAGGAUUCGGGCACCGAUGUAAAUACAAAAUACAGGUCCAUGCUUCCAAGAUUUUUACUGGAGGCCUGUGUGUUUGUGAGGCUUAAGCAAAGAAUAACAACAUCGCAGAAGGAUGUAAACCGUGAUUUUCUACGUCUCCAAAUAAUUAGGUGUCAUAGUGAACUAAAGUUAGAUAAAGCCUUCUCCAAUUUCACCAAUGAUUCGUGGAAAAAAGCUUGGCACUUUUACUGUGAGUUUGGGACUAAGGGAGUUAUGUUUGACUAUCGUCGUCAUGGUGGUAACUGUCUAAGAGGAAGUAGCCUGCUAGAUACUGUGUCGUUCCGCUGGAAUGAUUUAUUGAGAGCAGAUUCUUUAACUUUGGAAAAGGAAGUUAGUCAACAGGUUAAUGUUGUUACGUCAAUAACCCCACCAGUUCAAGCACCAUACUUGUUGAAAUGUGUGCCUGAUCGAGUCACUGAUGAUUCUGGGGCUAUGAUAUCUGAUGUGAUUCUGAAGAUGAAUAGUUAUCGUCCACAAGAAGGCCGAUGGUUGUCUCGCACAGUUCUUGAUCAUGCAGGGAGAGUGUGUUUUGUUAUUAGAAUUAGGGUAGGAGGAGGAUUUUGGAGAAGAGGGGGUGAAGCUCCUUCAGCUGUAAAAUGGGAAGAUAGGAUUAUAGAGAUACGUGAAGGAUCUUGGUCUUAUGUUGCCGGUUACAUUGGUAGAGCCCCUGUACAGAAAAGGUGGUGGCCACUGCAACACCAAAGGAACCUACUGAACAAUGUAAAGCUGCAUGGUGCUUUUCAACAGGAGAUGAACUGACAAUACAAUGGGAGUCAUCACAAUCAGUGUCAGGUCUCACCUUUAGCUUGCUAAAUCAAACAUCUCCAGAGUCAUCGGUACUGCUAUUGAGAGGGAGGCAGAUGCAAUAUCAAGUAAAGAAAACAGAGUCAAAGAGAAAAGGUGAAGACAUGAAAACCGAGUUAGAGGAGAAAGAGGUUGACGAAGAGGAAGAUGAGGAGAGUUUUAUAACAGUAGUACGUUUCACAGAAGAUAACCCAGAUGGAAAAGCAACUGCUCUUCUAAAUUGGAGGCUAUUGGUUGUUGAAGUAUUGCCAGAAGAAGAUGCAGUACUGAUGCUUCUUCUUUGCCUUUCAAUACUCAAAAGCGUAUCAGAAAUGAAGAAACAAGACGUGGGAGGGUUGUUGGUGAGGAGAAGAUUAAAAGAAGCAAGGCUUGGAAGUAGGGAUUGGGGUUCUGUGAUACUUCAUCCAUCUUCAUGGUCCUCGUCCAUUGAUUCAACUUAUCUUCAACCUUGGCAUUGGAAUGCUGGGGUUUUGAUGAAAUCUGAUUCAGUAGAUCAGCUUAAAAGGUAUCCAACAUUAAGUCAAUCGCCAGUGGAAGGUAGUGACAAGUUAUACAAACAUGGAAUUUUAAGUUAAGUCUCUUUAAUUUUAGCAAAUACUAGUACUAUCAUUGUUUGCACAAAAUUUAGCUUUCUUCAAGUUUACUUUUUUUCCGGAAUUCAAAAUUAUGAGCCAGAAAAAUGUGUAGGAGUGCAAAUGUCAACCUAAAGUUCCAAAUUAGGUAAAAAGGAGAACAUGUAAGUUUUAAGAUCCUUAACGUCUUAAAUUUUUUGAAAAAAA